UGGGGAAUAUUGCACAAUGGGCGCAAGCCUGAUGCAGCCAUGCCGCGUGUAUGAAGAAGGCCUUCGGGUUGUAAAGUACUUUCAGCGGGGAGGAAGGGAGUAAAGUUAAUACCUUUGCUCAUUGACGUUACCCGCAGCAGAAGCACCGGCUAACUCCGUGCCAGCAGCCGCGGUAAUACGGAGGGUGCAAGCGUUAAUCGGAAUUACUGGGCGUAAAGCGCACGCAGGCGGUUUGUUAAGUCAGAUGUGAAAUCCCCGGGCUCAACCUGGGAACUGCAUCUGAUACUGGCAAGCUUGAGUCUCGUAGAGGGGGGUAGAAUUCCAGGUGGAGCGGUGAAAUGCGUAGAGAUCUGGAGGAAUACCGGUGGCGAAGGCGGCCCCCUGGACGAAGACUGACGCUCAGGUGCGAAAGCGUGGGGAGCAAACAGG
rnacentral:rRNA from 1 species